ACUGCAUAUUUCUUUCAAGGACUACAUUCUAAAGCAUGUGCAAAUAAAAAAUGUUUCAACUGUGAGUUUGAAAGUUUGAUUUUGAAGUCAAAGGAUACAAAAUAUCCACUCUCUCCUAAGGGCAUACUCUCCCAACUAAGGAGUACUGGAAGUCAACUAUGUAUUGGCAAAGAAGAAGAGGCACAUGAAUUUCUAAAGCAUGCCAUUGACACAAUGCAAUCUAUUUGCCUUAUGGAUGCUGGGGUUGAUGUAUCUGGCUCAUUGAAAGAG